ensembl:snRNA U6 U6 spliceosomal RNA
GCGCUCUUUUCCACAGCACACAUACUGAAAUAGGAAUGAUACAGAGAAGAUUAGCAUGGCACCUGUGCAAGGAUGACGCAUACAUUAGUGACGCAUUACAAGAAAAG